rnacentral:rRNA from 1 species
GUGUUAACACAUGCAAGUCGAACGAUGAUCUCCAGCUUGCUGGGGGGAUUAGUGGCGAACGGGUGAGUAACACGUGAGUAACCUGCCCUUGACUCUGGGAUAAGCCUGGGAAACUGGGUCUAAUACCGGAUACGACCGUCCCGCGCAUGCGGUGGUGGUGGAAAGCUUUUGCGGUUUUGGAUGGACUCGCGGCCUAUCAGCUUGUUGGUGGGGUAAUGGCCUACCAAGGCGACGACGGGUAGCCGGCCUGAGAGGGUGACCGGCCACACUGGGACUGAGACACGGCCCAGACUCCUACGGGAGGCAGCAGUGGGGAAUAUUGCACAAUGGGCGAAAGCCUGAUGCAGCGACGCCGCGUGAGGGAUGACGGCCUUCGGGUUGUAAACCUCUUUCAGUAGGGAAGAAGCGAAAGUGACGGUACCUGCAGAAGAAGCGCCGGCUAACUACGUGCCAGCAGCCGCGGUAAUACGUAGGGCGCAAGCGUUAUCCGGAAUUAUUGGGCGUAAAGAGCUCGUAGGCGGUUUGUCGCGUCUGCUGUGAAAGACCGGGGCUCAACUCCGGUUCUGCAGUGGGUACGGGCAGACUAGAGUGAUGUAGGGGAGACUGGAAUUCCUGGUGUAGCGGUGAAAUGCGCAGAUAUCAGGAGGAACACCGAUGGCGAAGGCAGGUCUCUGGGCAUUAACUGACGCUGAGGAGCGAAAGCAUGGGGAGCGAACAGGAUUAGAUACCCUGGUAGUCCAUGCCGUAAACGUUGGGCACUAGGUGUGGGGGACAUUCCACGUUUUCCGCGCCGUAGCUAACGCAUUAAGUGCCCCGCCUGGA